rnacentral:rRNA from 1 species
CCUACGGGUGGCAGCAGUGGGGGAUAUUGCACAAUGGGGGAAACCCUGAUGCAGCGACGCCGCGUGUGGGAAGACGGUCCUCUGGAGUGUAAACCACUGUCCCCAGGGACGAAGAUGACGGUACCUGGGGAGGAAGCUCCGGCUAACUACGUGCCAGCAGCUGCGGUAAGAGGUAGGGAGCGAGCGUAGGCCGGAAUUACUGGGUGGAAAGGGAGCGUAGGCGGGGAUGCAAGUUGGGUUUCAAAACUACCGGCUCAAAUGGUAGUCGCACUCAAAACUGCAGCUUCUGAGUGAAGUAGAGGCAGGCGGAAUUCCUAGUGUAGCGGUGAAAUGCGUAGAUAUUAGGAGGAACACCAGUGGCGAAGGCGGCCUGCUGGGCUUUUACUGACGCUGAGGCUCGAAAGUGUGGGGAGCAAACAGGAUUAGAUACCCUAGUAGUC